UUUUCUUUCUUAUUAUUAUUAAUUUUAACCAAAAUAAUCCUAUUACUUUUCGUAAUACCGUUAUUAUUUUUGUUAAUUAUUUUAAAAAUUCUGCAAUAAAUUAAUUCUGCGCCGCCCUAGAUAUACUUGUUUUAUUAAUUGUGGUUAUAACGUAUCCGUCGCGUUACCGGUUCGAACAAAUUCGAAAAUAAUUCCGACGACGAAAAGUACGCCGCGUUUAAAUAACGUAUUCUGGUUUUUUUAUUGCAUUAAACUUUCCAGAAUUAUUAAUGUUUUAAAUUAUCGCCCCCAUUUCGCCGGAACGGUUUGCAAUUAAUAUAAUAAAUAUAAAAAAUCCUUUUAUAACCACGGCAAAAAAUUGCAUAUCCAAAACCUUUUUUUGCAUUAUUAAUUAUAUAGUUUGUAAUAUAUUAUAAUCGGCGAUCGCCAUAUUAUGUCCCCCAAAAUAUUAAUAAUGCGUAAUAUUAGUAAUAAAACUGUUAAAUUUGGGUAUAAUACCGAAAUAACGGCCGAAUUUAAUUUCGUUAAUACCGCGUAUAUAUAUAAAUAUAAUCGGUUUCGGAACGAAAAAUGUUUUGGCGCGAUUUUUACUUUUGGCGGCCCUAACGUUUUACUUUUAAUAUACCGCAACGGUAAUGAUAAAACCGUUUAAUAAUUUACUAUUAAUUUCGUUUAAAAUCUAAAAUAUAAAAAAAUAAAAACCCAUUUUCUUCCAACCCAUAAUUAAAUAAAUAUUAAUUGGUUAAGUUUAAAACGUAAUAAUAAACAUUAUUAAUAAUUGCUGGAAAUUUAACGUAAAUCCGCUAUUACCCAACGCGAAAUUAACGCCGUUAUUUUUAUUUUCCCGGCUGUUAUUUAUACGCGUUCCGAACCCCGCGUAAUGCGGUAUUGAUUUGAUUCUUUUACCGCCCCGUUUAAUUUAUAUACGGUUCUUUUCGCGACGUUUUUAUUUUUAAUUUCUAACCCCGUUCUGAUUUUUAUAAAUAUUUUAAAUAAUUGCGCCGUAAUUUUUUUAUAUUUUUUAUUUUCGUCGUCCAAACGUUUACGCGGAAAAAUUUUUUGUUCCGUUUUUAUUAUAUUUCGCUAAAACGCGCGCCGUCGUUUUUAAUAAAAUUCCGUUACGCGGUCCGCCGUUACCGUUUGAAUGUUUAUUGUUUUUUUAAUUUUCCGCCGCCGCGUUUGAAUUUCUUUAUUUAAUAUAAUAAUAAUAUUAAAUAUAUAAAUUAUUAUAUACCGGAUUUGCAGAAAUAUAAUUAAUAUAAUAAUAAUUAAUAUAAUUAAUAUAACCAAUAAAUAUUUAUCGCCGUUUGUCACCGUCUCGUCGUUUAUUCUUAUCUUAUUAUUUUCAUUUUUACUAUUCCCCGGCGUACGGGGAUUGGCCGGUUUAUAUAUUAAUUCUUUUCAAAUAAAAUUAUUUUUUCCGUAAAAUUGAACCGGUCCCGGGGUUUUUAAUAUUUUUAUUAUAUUUGGUUACGCCUAAAUAUUUUACCCAUUUAUUCCGUUAUUGAAAUAUAUAAAUAUAAAACGCGCAAUAAUUUCGCGUUACGCCGUUGUAAAUCCGUAAUAUUUUUUUUCCGUAUUCGUGGUUAUAAAAAAUCCGGCGCGACGGUCGCGGUUGGUUAAUAACGUUUCGAAAACGGUUUGUUAUUAGUACGGACGCUUUUCCAACGAAUUUUAAAUAUAUUCAAAAUAUUAAUAUCCGCUAUAAAUCCGGUUUCCACGUGGGGUUAUUAUAAUAUUAUUAUUUUAUUAAUAUUUGGCGGCCGUUUUGUUUCCCUGCGGUUCUUCGCGGCCAAAAUCGCUUUUGCGGCCCAAACUUUUCGGGUUUGUCGAAUGUUUUUAUCGGUUAAAACUUAAAACCGGGCCGGAAAUCGGUCCGAAUUUACAAAAAUAAUAAAUUAUAAACGGCCCGUUCUAUUAAUUUUAUAUAAAAAAUAGGAUGAAUCUUUUAUAAAAUAUUUAACGUAACCGUAAAACAAAAUCGGUACCGCUAUUACCCGGUAUUUUUCAUAAAUAUAAUCGAGUUUUUUAUAUAGGCGGUUUAUAAAUAUAUUUUUAAAUUAAAAGAUAUUCCGUCCCCAACCCGGAAUUAUUCGGUUGGGCGUUAUAAUUCGCUCGCCCCGAUUAUUUAAUAUUAUUAAUUAUAUAUAAUAAUAGUUUGGAUUAAUUCGGAAUUGUUCCGUAAAUAUUCCAAAAAUUCCGUGGUUUUGAUUUUCGGAUUUAAAAUUAAGAUUUUGGAAAGAAAAUAAUAUUUAAAACCGUUUUAAUAUUAAAACCCAAUAAUAAUUUAUUUAAAUUCACCCCCGCUACGGAUAAAUUCCGGUUAUUAAAAGCUUAUUAUAUAAUUUCCAAAUAAUUGGAUUAAUUUAUUUAAUUAAAAAUUAUAUAAAUUUUGAAAUAUUAUCGGAUUUUUUAAUU
rnacentral:sRNA from 1 species